UGGGGAAUAUUGCACAAUGGGCGCAAGCCUGAUGCAGCCAUGCCGCGUGUAUGAAGAAGGCCUCCGGGUUGUAAAGUACUUUCAGCGGGGAGGAAGGGAGUAAAGUUAAUACCUUUGCUCAUUGACGUUACCCGCCGAAGAAGCACCGGCUAACUCCGUGCCAGCAGCCGCGGUAAUACGGAGGGUGCAAGCGUUAUUCGGAAUUACUGGGCGUAAAGCGCACGCAGGCGGUCUGUCAAGUCGGAUGUGAAAUCCCCGGGCUCAACCUGGGAACUGCAUUCGAAACUGGCAGGCUAGAGUCUUGUAGAGGGGGGUAGAAUUCCAGGUGUAGUGGUGAAAUGCGUAGAGAUCUGGAGGAAUACCGGUGGCGAAGGCGGCCCCCUGGACAAAGACUGACGCUCAGGUGCGAAAGCGUGGGGAGCAAACAGG
rnacentral:rRNA from 1 species